rnacentral:rRNA from 1 species
GAUUGCAGGCUGCAACCCGCCCUGCAUGAAGCCGGAAUCGCUAGUAAUCGCGGAUCAGAAUGCCGCGGUGAAUACGUUCCCGGGUCUUGUACACACCGCCCGUCACACCAUGGGAGUCGAUAACGCCCGAAGUCAGUGACCCAACCGAGAGGAGGGAGCUGCCGAAGGCGGGAUUGAUAACUGGGGUGAAGUCGUAACAAGGUACC